CUUCAUUUGUUCAUGAGAUAAUAAGGAAUCGGGCGUGGAGGAAAAGUCUUUUUAAAUUGGUUUUUUUCUUAAUUGAGAGAAAAAAUUACAAACCGGAACUUAUGUGGAAAAGUGCAGGCGGUGGAAAACUUUUAAUUUACUGAGUGCAAUUGACGCGUCGCAGCAGAAAUUAAUAUAAAAACGUUGUGCUAAUAUUCGUCGCGUCGGAUGAAAUAGAAAAUUUCACUUAUUUUUCUUGUGGCACUUUUCAGUUGUCUACCUGCCGCAGCCGCUACCAAUAACGGCUGCAACAACAACAGUACCAAUAAAUACUUCAGCGGUAGCGCGAGCAACAACAACGUAUCUGCUCCAAACUCCAUUCGAUUUGUGUGGUUGUUGGUUGCUGCCGUCAUCGUUUCCAUCAGCUCCAGUGCCACCUCCCAAAUGGCUGAGACGUGGAAAAUUGCUAAUUUUUAAAAGAAAUUUUUACUAGAGCAUAAAGCAAAGAAAAAAGUCGGUAAAAAAUGAAAAAAUUCGUGAGAAGAUUAGGAGGAGAAUAGUGAAAGCAGCAAAACUAAAAAGAAGUACUCGAAAGCAAAAAGAGAGAAGCCGCUGUUGCUGCUGUUCCCCACCCCAAAAAAGGUGGAAAAUCGAAAUAGAAUUUUUAGAUUAAAAUUUCUCGACAAACAAGUUUCUUCUGUUCCUUAUCGUGAAUGAGGAAAUGCAUAAACUUUUUGAAAGAUUCCAACACAAAUACAACAAAGAUAAUAAAGAAGUAGAUAUAAAGUGAUUAAACUAACAAGAAAUGUAAUAAAGAGAAGAACAGAAAAUGAAGUGAAGCAAAAAGUGCAAAGUGCGAGAUAAAGUGAAAUACAAAUAGAAUAGAAUCAAAUGAAAUAUACAAAGUGAAUAACAGUAACAAAAGACAAGUAUAAAAUAAAAAUAAAAGAAUUAUUACUUUAAAAGGCAGGGAAGUGAACAAACAACAAAACGCAAAAAGAAAGGAAACAACAGAAAAUAGCAAAUCAAAAUGGCGCACCAGCAGCAACUUGCCCCAUCUGUGAACUGCUCAUUGGAUGAUAUCGAUUUGAAUGCAUUGAAGGAUCCCGCUGGUAUCUUCGAGCUAAUCGAGGUCGUCGGCAAUGGCACCUAUGGGCAAGUCUACAAGGUAAUUACACUG